GGGCCCUUAGCUCAACGGUUAGAGCAGUGGACUCAUAAUCCAUUGGUUGGGGGUUCAAAUCCCUCAGGGCCCAC
rnacentral:tRNA from 1 species